UACGUAGGGUGCGAGCGUUAAUCGGAAUUACUGGGCGUAAAGCGUGCGCAGGCGGCGCGUUAAGACAGGUGUGAAAGCCCCGAGCUUAACUUGGGAAUUGCGCUUGUGACUGGCGUGCUGGAGUGUGGCAGAGGGAAGUGGAAUUCCACGUGUAGCAGUGAAAUGCGUAGAGAUGUGGAGGAACACCGAUGGCGAAGGCAGCCUCCUGGGCCAGCACUGACGCUCAUGCACGAAAGCGUGGGGAGCAAACAGG
rnacentral:rRNA from 1 species